CCACUCUACAGCACAUUCAGCCCGGUCAGAGCAGCCCCAGGCUGGCAAGCCGACCCCUGGGACCCCUUGCUAGCUGGGACUUCUCCAACCAGGCUACACAUGCUGCUCAUGAAUAAACUCUGAAGUUUAUUACCCUGGAGUUAAUUGUUCCACGUUCAGUGUACCCAGGAACAAAAACUCUGGAGCAAUAGGUUACAGAGUUUAUUCAUGUGGACUAGUUGCAUGUGUAUAUGUGCCCACUAUCACUGAACCCCUGCUCCCAGAAGAGCCUAUGUGGUUGAUAGGUAAGAGCAAGGGCAGACUUGCCCCUUUCCUCUCCUGACUGACAUGUAUUUUAGCAAGUCAUUUUACCCUCUGAAAUGUGAGUGACUGCAUAGCACUGUGAAACCCUUGCAUAAGAAGUUACUCUUCAAGCAUAGCAUAUAUUAAGCUGGGUCCUCUCAUUUCAAGAGCCUCUUGGAACAAGUAUGAGGUUGCACCCUGUUCAUCAUGUAGUUUAAAAAAACCCGAAAGUCCAUGCCUAGACUCAUGUAAAUAUUGAGGCCUGUAAGUUCACUCUGAUUACAUAGGUAAAGAAAAUAGAGAAGAGGUAGGUGGAAGGAAAACUAACCCUGCCCAUGAUGCACAGUUCUCAUGUAUUUGGUGUAACACUUGCUUACUUGGCAGGCUCUUUACAUCUGCCUGUAUUACAUCAGGAUUCUCAGGCAUGUGUCCAUCCAGCUGGGGUGUGGGCAGACAAGCAAGUAUUUUGCCUGAAGUUGCUUCAUGCAGUCAUCCCGAUGGCUUGUGCCUAGCAUGGCUCAGCUCUCUGUGUUGGAUUAUAGCCAGGAACAUUCAGCUCAGAGAAUGUGGCACCAGAAGUCAUGGCAUGAGGGUACUGCUCUCAGACGCUCGCUUCCCUGCAGCUACACCUGUGCAUCCUAAUGCUCUAGGCACCCUCAUUCAGUGUCCUCUCCAGCCCCAUUGAGUCCUAGAUCCACACUGCUGCCCACAGACCUGCUGCUACUGGACCUCUCAUACCUGCCACUGGCCCCAUGGAUCUGGCCCAGGGAGGAAGUGCCGCAGUCUGGACUUGGUGCCAGGCCCAGACUGGGAUCUUUGCCAAAUCUAUCUCUGGCACAGCUGGAAAAGAAGAAAAAAUUAAUCCAACCUCUCUGCUGUGACAACUAUGAAAGUGAAGCCCAGUUGGUAUGGCAGGCAUGGAGAGGCAAUUUAAUUUUUAAGCAUUCAGAUCACUUAGCACCAGCAAGUUAUACCCAAGUCAUUCCUAGCACUGAGAGGCAGGCCUCACGCCUUACUGGGGCCAUGUCUUGGGUUCCAGCACAACAUUUAAACGUGAUGAAUACCUUCCUAAGUAUUGUAACUGCCAAAGAGAUAAUGUGGCCUAGUAAAUGGGAUUAUGAUUGUUUUUUGGGAUGGGAAGUAAUUGUUGUAGCACUCAUAGUGUGAUAUGUGCUUUGUAAAUAUGUUAGAGGGAAUUAUUUCUGUCCUGGAGGCUAACAAGUAAACAAUGUAAUAAUGAGGGAAAAGGGAUGAACAAAGGUAUGGUUGUCCUAAUAAAGAGACAUACAACUUGAAUAUGAUGCCUAAGUUCUCCCUCCAAUGUGACACCAUCUACAUUUUUUUUUAAUAGGCAACAUAACAGAUGAGUCUUUGGGAGAAAAGGUUGAAAAAGGUUGUACCAGGCAGAAAUGGAAGUGUGAAAAAAGGCAUGGACAUGUUUGCAUGAAAAGCUGCUAUCACUGGAGAAGAUGAAGUAUGACCUUAGUAGGAUAGGAUUUGUAAGUGAGGAGAGGCGGUGUCAUGAAAGAUUUUGAACCACAACAGGGAGUCUGAUGCAGUAGGAGAGAGGAGAGUCUUUGCCAUAGCAGGGCCAGCUCUGAGCUCCCCUGCUGGGCCAUAGGAGCUAGACA